GCCAGUGUGGUGUAGUGGUUUGAGCAUUGGACUCUAAUUCUGGAGAUCAGGGUUCAAAUCCUGGCUCAGCCA